AUCUACAACCAUACCACCCUGAGCACGCCCAAUCUUGUCUGCUCUUGGAAGUUUAGCAGGGUUGGGCCGUUUAGUUCUUGGAUGGGAGACUGCCUGUUAAUACCGGCCGCUGAAGGCU
ensembl:rRNA 5S_rRNA 5S ribosomal RNA